ensembl:snoRNA SNORA74 Small nucleolar RNA SNORA74
UCCAGCUGUGGGCAACUCCUAGGUUGGUUUGUACCUAUCCAAGUUUAACACUGCUGGAAGAAAAGCAGCCAGUAGCUGGUGGACAUUCUAGGCCUGGUUAAUGCCAAAUUUGUGUUAACCAUACCAGUGUACCAACAUA